ensembl:lncRNA
CAUAUCUCAUUCUCUUGGUUCUUUCUGUAUCUAUUUAAUUUUAUACUGAUAAGGACCUUGACCUCAAAGUUCGAAUUUUCGAGAAAGGUUACACAUGAUUUUCAGACUUCUUUCUAGUAGCACUUGUGCAAGUAAAAUGCCAAAAUAUGAUGAUGUGGGUAAUUUUUAGUAAGAGAAAUAAUAAACACAUCAUUAAUUACAAAUAUCAGACCUCUUUCCUUUUGCCCCUCAAGUAGAAAGAACUGUUGUCAGAAUCUCAAAAAGAGAGUUUCAGAAUUCCAGACUUUGAGAGUUCCAAAAUUAGACGGGUAUGGAACUGCAAGUCAUCAAAGCGUCAGUCAAUCUCUGGUGUCUCUGAUAGAUAUUUUGAAGUGGGCCGACUAAGCUAAAAUGCCACUAAAGAUAACACACCAAAGUUAUUCUGAGACGUGAUAAGCUCCAGCCAACACCACACUGUUUCCUUCAUCCUUCAGUGUGUGACAACAGAUAGAGCUUAAAAUAAUUUUACAAGGACAAUAGCACAUGUCAAACGUUUGCUAACAAGUCCUUUAAAUUCCUCAUCUUCUGUGAUGCUUUUAGUCUUUACAUGUGAGAAAGUAAUGAAAAGGUCUCUACUAAAUAGAUAAUGCACAAAUCUUUCUGAAAUGUCUUGAGUUUUGAAUCCAAAAAGUGAGAAUAAAAUGUAUGUUAUAUAGAAAAGUAAUUCGUAUGCAAUUACAUAUUAGGACAAAAACUACAGAGAUGUCUUGGAGUUCCCAGCGUGGCUCAGUGGUUAAUGAAUCUGACUAAGAACCAUGAGGUUGCGGGUUGGAUCCCUGGCCUUGCUCAGUGGGUUAAGGAUCUGGCGUUGCCUUGAGCUGUGGUGUAUGUCGCAGACGCAGCUCGGAUCCUGUGCUGCUGUGGCUCUGACGUAGGCCGGCGGCUACAGCUCCGAUUCAACCCCUAGCCUGGGAACCUCCAUAUGCCGAGGAAGCGGCCCAAGAAAUGGCAAAAAGACAAAAAGACAAAAAAAAAAACCUACAGAGAUGUCUUAAAUCAAACCUUAUAAAUAAGCAAACUGGCAUUCCCGUCAUGGCACAGCAGAAACGAUCCGACUAGGAACCAUGAGCUUGCGAGUUUGACCCCUGGCCUCGCUCAGUGGGUGAAGGAUCCGGUGUUGCCGUGAGCUGUGGGGUAGGUCACAGACAUGGCUCGGAUCCUGAGUUGCUGUGGCUGUGGUGUAGGCUGGCAGCUACAGCUCUGAUUCGACCCCUAGCCUGGGGACCUCCAUAAGCUGUGGGUGCAGCCCUAAAAAGCCAAAACAAAAACAAAAAAACCCCAAAAAACAAAAUCAAAAUAAGCAAACUAAGAAAUGUCUUCAGAAGACAAUUCUAUUGAAUCAUUAUAUAAUUAUGUAAUAUUGCAUUAUUAUGUAAUUGAUAUGUGUAUAUUUGUGUGUAUGCCACAUAUGGUACCACUGACUUCAGCAAGGAAACAUGUAAGUAGAAGGUUUCCAUUCUGCAAACCAUUCUAUAGACACCUGGUACUGGUAUCAUUAUCAUUUUUCUGAAGAUUUAUGUUCCUGAAGAUUUACUGAAGAAUUUUUGAAUCAUGGUAUUCCAGACUCCAGGCCUUCUGAUCAUGCUGCAAUUCACCAAUCUCCAUUUUUCCUAACCUUUGUAAAGAUCUUAGCCCAGGGAUACUUAAUAUAUGGUUAAGAAUGAAUGAGUAAAGCAGCUGGCAAAUCCUCACUUCUUCAACAAUAAAGAAGCCACCUCUGACAACCAAAGCAAGUGAACAUGGCUGAGGAAAGUGACUGCUCAGUGCACUGGGCCGUCAGAGAGGUGCUCUAAUAGGUUUACAGCUUUUAUACAAUGCUGACUUCAGAGAAGGGGAAAGACCCAGAAAAUAGAACAGUGAGUCAAAGUACAAUCUAAAUUCGGUAGCACAAUAGCACUUUGGCCAUAGGGCAUCUGUACAGCGUGUGGGUGUGAGUGCUGGGGGAGGGGGGCGGUGUAGAAAGGGAGGAUAGAGAUAAGCUAUCGGAGGAAGCUAAGCUGACAUUUAGACUUCAACAGACCCUAAGAGCACCGAAAUGUCACGCUAAAGAUGUACCUGUUAUACCAAGGGUAGAGUGCAAAGCACGGCACUGCCACUUACUGAAGUGCAAGUUUAUCCGUUAUGCAAGAGAAUUACUGAACUAAAAUGAAAUAGUUAAAAAUCUUAUUCACAGACUCAAGUCUUAUAUAGUUAAUAGAGUUAUUGGACGUCAAAGCUUUAGAAAGUGGGUUUCUUCUUUUAUGAGCUGAAAUAAUGUAAUUUUAAAAGUGAUCCACUUUGACAUGGCUCAAAAGCAUAGACAAAAAGCAUUUCAUAUUUUAAAAUAAGCACACUGCUAUUUGCCUAAUUCUCCCAAGAGGAAAAAUAAUUUCAAAUAGAAUUUUUCAUUGUUCAGUAGUGGCACACAUAUUUAGUGCUAGUUUCCAGGGAAAACAUGUUUUCCAGUCCUCUCCAAGGAUAAAAGACAAAUCAAAGUGAAAUUGCCCACACCUCUACAUUCAUUAGAUAUCCAAGAUAUCGUGAGUCAAGUUUUAUUUUUUUAGGAUAUCAAUGAGAGAGAGUAUGUUUGCUUCAUUACAUACCCCCAAAUUAGACUAGAUGGAAAAACCAGUUAUAAAAUAAUAUUACUCAAGCAAGUAUCUUUAUCUUACUUUUUCUUAUCUAAAUCUUAUUUUAGGAUACUGAGGUUGGACUGAAAGAAGAAAUCAAUUACAUAUAUAUUCACACACCCAAAUAUCUAUAUCCGUACUUUUUUAAUGAAGAUAUAUAACACUUAAUACUAAAUUUAAAAAAUUCACAAAACAAAAUUGCUGGUUACCUCUCAUUUCAAAAACAAAGAUGGGUUUUCCCUAUUACAGAAUCAAUCCCCUGGGGAUUCUUGGGUGGAGCAGAGCAGAAGCAGCAAUCAUCUGGUAUCUCUACCGCACCAGCAGGAAAAAGGCACUGCCGUCAAGACUGGGGAGAGGCUUGCUCUGCUCCUCCUUCUGGCCCCUCUGCCCAAUAAUAAAGUCAUUUCUCGCCCAAAUCCAGCUGCAGAUCUGGCCAAGCAGCUAGAACUCUCCAAGGCUUUCUCAGCACAUUGUAUAGGCCUAGGGAGACUUAAACUCAAUUACCAUAAUUACAUAUCCAUUACAUGAUCCACAUGUCCUGCAAGUUCUGUCCCAUCUCUACCCUCUUCUCCUGCCUCUCUGACCUCACUUCUUAUCCUUCUGCCUGUAUUCAAUCUGCUCGUGGCGCACUGCUCUCCUGACGGGACCACUGCACCAGCUCUGCCCUCGGCCUGGGACACUCAUGACCCAGGCAGCCAAUAACCUCCUCAUAGAGGCUUUCCCGCCCACUCUAUGGUAAGUUGCAACUGCCUAUCCCUGCAUUCCCUAUGACCGUCACAUGCUUUAUUUUUCUCCAGGACACUUAUCACCAUGUGAUAUACCAUACAUUUUUAUUUAUUUGUUUAUUGUCAGUCUCUGCUCACUAAAAAGUCAGCACCAUGAGGACAGGAAUUUUGUCUGUUUUGCUCACUACUAGGUCUUCAGCAUCUACAACAGUCCCUGGCCCACAGUCAUAGCUCAAAAAAUAUUUUGUGGAAUAAAUGAUGCCAAGUUUAAGAAAUAAUGCUUGUGCCCAUCAACUAUUUAUUAGACGCUGAAAACACCAAACUACACAAAAUGUCAAAUACAAAGAGUGCAAGGAGUUUCCAAAGUGGCCCAGUGGAAAUGAAUCCAACUAGUAUCCAUGAGGACGCAGGAUUGAUGCCUGGCCUUGCUCAGUGGGUUGGGAAUCCGGCCUUGUGGUGAGCUGUGGUCUAGCCUGAGAGCUUCCAUAUGUCGUGGGUAUAGCCCUCAAGAGAACUGAGAUACAUGAAGUAAUUAAUUACCUAGACAAUAUCAGGUAUAACAAAUAGCAAAUCAGGUUCAUUCGGAUAUGGCUCAGAAUCUGCCUUGACACUCUUGGUUAGAACUUGGGUGUAAUUACAUGCUGAGAUGAAUGGUAUAAACUUGUGCCAAGAGCUUAGAGGGGGAAAAAAUGAGCUGUGACAGUAAGACUAUGGGUAGAUGAUGAGGUCCCGUGCUGGGUCUGUGGGAGUGGAGGUCUGUGCUGGCAGUGAAGAGGGAGGUAGCAAAUUUCAUCAGGGGACGAACAGGCAUGCGAGGGACAGUGGGAACUCAUCUGGGGAGGACCAUCUGAGUGGGCCUGGGCCACAGAGAGCCUGAUCCUCUCAGUGGAAGACUUCAGUCUAGAUGGAUGCCCACAGCACCUGCUACAGUAGGAUUCUGGGCCCAAGUCCUCUCCCGGGUCAGGCGGAUGCUAGGCACCCCCUAAAACCACAUCCCUGCUCAGCUCAGUUUCUUCUUCCCAACCCUGCUUCCCUCACCCCCUUGUCGGUAACAUUUGACAGAACUCUCUGGAGGGAUCCCUCGUCCAUGAAUCCCACCUCAGGUUCUGCUUCUGGCCUAACUGCACUAAGACAAGUCUGUCAAGGAAAGGACCCGAUAUUCAUCAAGAAAACUACAUGUUUAUGAAGAAAAGGGGUACACUGUGAAGGACUACUGUAGGUCAUUCGGGCUGGAAGGAGAAUGCCAAGCAGUCUGGUGAGCGAGACGCCGGAUAAAAAGGGUAAAGCGACUGG